CUCCAGAUGUUGCUGAACUACAACUCCCAUGAUUAUCUAUGUAUCUAUGUCAUUGAAAGAACCAUGGGAGUUGUAGUUCAGCAACAUCUGGAG
rnacentral:miRNA from 1 species